rnacentral:rRNA from 1 species
UGCCAGCCGCCGCGGUAAUACGGAGGGGGCUAGCGUUGUUCGGAAUUACUGGGCGUAAAGCGGGUGUAGGCGGACCGGCCAGUCAGAGGUGAAAGCCCAGGGCUCAACCCUGGAAUUGCCUUUGAUACUACCGGUCUUGAGUCUGGGAGAGGUGAGCGGAAUUCCGAGUGUAGAGGUGAAAUUCGUAGAUAUUCGGAAGAACACCAGUGGCGAAGGCGACUCACUGGCACAUUUCUGACGCUGAGGCGCGAAAGCGUGGGGAGCAAACAGGAUUAGAUA